AUUGAACGCUGGCGGCAUGCUUUACACAUGCAAGUCGAACGGUAACAGGCCGCAAGGUGCUGACGAGUGGCGAACGGGUGAGUAAUGCAUCGGAACGUGCCCAGUCGUGGGGGAUAACGCAGCGAAAGCUGCGCUAAUACCGCAUACGAUCUAUGGAUGAAAGCGGGGGACCGUAAGGCCUCGCGCGAUUGGAGCGGCCGAUGUCAGAUUAGGUAGUUGGUGGGGUAAAGGCUCACCAAGCCGACGAUCUGUAGCUGGUCUGAGAGGACGACCAGCCACACUGGGACUGAGACACGGCCCAGACUCCUACGGGAGGCAGCAGUGGGAAUUUUGGACAAUGGGGGCAACCCUGAUCCAGCAAUGCCGCGUGCAGGAAGAAGGCCUUCGGGUUGUAAACUGCUUUUGUACGGAACGAAACGGCUCUGGUUAAUACCUGGGGCUAAUGACGGUACCGUAAGAAUAAGCACCGGCUAACUACGUGCCAGCCGCCGCCGUAACAC
rnacentral:rRNA from 1 species